ensembl:lncRNA
UCAUUGGUCAGAGGCAUCUCUGUCAGGUGGAGGAUGGAUUUGUGACUAGCCAUUGCUUCCUUGUAGUCUGAAUGGUUGCUGGUAAGCCAGCAGAAAGACCUCAGCUGGAGCCUGGGACUGCAACACGGAGGGUGCUCAAGAAACAAAGGAAGGGAGUUAUUCUUCACUGAGUGAGGGCUACAACAGCACAGACUCUGAGAAUGAAUCCAACGCAUCCCAGAGGAGGAAGGAGUUAUCACCAGGCCAGGCUGUGUCCCCAGUGCAGGCUGUAUUGCGGCUGCUCGGAGGAGACGUCACCUCGCCAGGACCCGAGCUGAUUAUCUUCCCUUGGAUGCUUCAAAUGAUCGUCAGCUUUCUCGGAGAAGAGAAGGCGGUGAUUCAGAGGAUGAGGACGAGCCUGAUAGGAAUCAUCUCUAUUUUGUUCCUAAAAAGAGAACUCUUAGGCGUAGGAUGGCUGAACGCACGUGGGUGAGUUGGUGCCUUUUCUCCCAGAGAGAGGCUGUGUCUUUUACUGACUGGAUGUCCGGAAGAAUGUGAGACUUGCCCAGUGAAGAGUGCAGUACAAAGUUUUGCCCUUGAUCUUGACAGAAGACCAUAAUGCUUGGUGGUCCUUGAGGCUUAUGUGGGCUGUUCCUGCUCUCCACACACUGACAUUACGACUGUUAUGGGAAAGGGGUAAAAACAAACCAACAAACAAAGCACCAACCAGAGCCAGCCAGCCCUUUGGAAGUAAGCAGACUUACUGCAUGCCAAGCGUAUGUGGCUUUUCGGUUGCUCCUUAACUUCACAUCCAGUAUAACUGGUGUUCUUAGGUCCUCAUACUCCAUUUGUUUCUGGAAACCCCUCAGUUUUUGCUGUCCAGAAGAUUGCAGAAGUUUUUAGCAGCAGACCUCGGUCAUGGACUCGACUACUCCAAGUCACUGUGUUCGGGCUAGAUUUUGCCCUACAGACUCCUGCUGUUUUAGAAUGCAGAAUGUCAUUUAAUUUCCGUGUUGAUGUGGUUGGAGAUACGGUGUUUAAGUUAUAAUUGCAGUCAAGCCAAGUUGUCAGAAUGAAACUUCUAUCUUCAUCUUCAUUGUUUGGCUGUAGCUUAUUUCUACUUUUCAUAUUAAAAACUGUACUGCUUGUGAGGUUUCAGCUGUUGAUAUUGAACCGCUAUAUAUUGUGGGAAGCCAUUGAUGUCUUCAGACUGAGAGGAGGGCUGCUUUACCCUAAAUUACAGAUUGCUUUGUACUGAUGGAUGUGAAUGGUGUAUGCAUUUUACACCAGUAAGUACACAGCUUUUUGUAUAUAAGCUUUCCCUUUUGUGGUGUACAGAAAUUGCCCAAUCUGAUCAUUCCAAUGUACAUCUUUUUGUCAUAUGCUUUAUAUGUUCACAUGGUAUGUUUUGUUGACCUCUAAAGCUGCAGAGGCAAAACUUACAUCAAUUGUGUACAAACUUAUAUUUAAUUUGCAUAAACUAUGUGU